rnacentral:lncRNA from 1 species
CCGGGACUUAGUGCAGUCAGAAAAGAAGGAGAGCCCCAAAAUGUAAGAGGCUUAUUAUGGAAGUGACAAGAAUGACCUUCCCAAAAAUCAGCCUGUGAAAUUGCAUUGAUUCUCAGUAUGCAGAAAAUCAAACUAAUGAGUGCUAUUUUUAUUGUUGUUGUUGCAAAUAUUAAGGGUGUUCCAACCCACUCUUGCCCGUCCUCCCCAAAACCCAACAGUCACCAAAAUUCUUUCUAAGGAAAGCCCUCGAGAACAGAUCUAUCCAUAUGGGGAUGGGUCCAUCAAGCACACUAGCACAACUAAAUAACUGUCCCAAAAGUCCAUAUGUAAUUAUAAGAUGUUUACUAACCACUCAGAAGUGUCACUAUCAAUGUGAUGCUGAAAUGAAGGGAAUUAAGUUUCUUCAGUGUUCUUCGCUGCAAGUCUCUGUAUUCAAAUUUUGUAAUAAGUCUUUACUUCUGUGAUCUUAAUCUAAAAAUUCAGAACUGUCAUUAAUCACCACAGUAUCUGCAGAGAAAAUAUCUUUCAUCAUAGAGUAAUAACCUUAUUUUGCAUGUUUGCUUUCAUUUCGUAUCAGUUACAAAGACAAAGAAUCAGAUACCAGCAUUUGCUUCGUUCUUUGACUUUUCACUUUUUUUUAAUGAGUCAAAAAGGCCACUAAGAAAAGCCCACCCAGAUACGGGUAAACAAUAUAAACAAAUCAAAAUUGUAAGAUUAACUACAGCAACAACUUCUCAUGACAAUUGUAACAGAUUUUAACAGUUACUCUGGAUUUAUCUUCUAUCGGAAAACACCUGUAACACAUGUACAUUUGUUUUGUUGGCAGGGGAACCCCGAGUUUACAGACAUAAUGGAAGGAUCCUGUUGGAGAAAGACUGACAGACAUGGCCAGAACACAGCCACCAAGCAGAAGGUCAUUUCCAGGUCAAGCCUGUUCAAAGAACUCUGCACUGUACAGAAAUUAAAUUAG